rnacentral:rRNA from 1 species
GAUGAACGCUGGCGGCGUGCCUAAUACAUGCCAGUCGAGCGAACAGACGAGGAGCUUGCUCCUCUGACGUUAGCGGCGGACGGGGGAGUAACACGUGGAUAACCUACCUAUAAGACUGGGAUAACUUCGGGAAACCGGAGCUAAUACCGGAUAAUAUUUUGAACCGCAUGGUUCAAUAGUGAAAGACGGUGUUGCUGUCACUUAUAGAUGGAUCCGCGCCGCAUUAGCUAGUUGGUAAGGUAACGGCUUACCAAGGCAACGAUGCGUAGCCGACCUGAGAGGGUGAUCGGCCACACUGGAACUGAGACACGGUCCAGACUCCUACGGGAGGCAGCAGUAGGGAAUCUUCCGCAAUGGGCGAAAGCCUGACGGAGCAACGCCGCGUGAGUGAUGAAGGUCUUCGGAUCGUAAAACUCUGUUAUUAGGGAAGAACAAAUGUGUAAGUAACUAUGCACAUCUUGACGGUACCUAAUCAGAAAGCCACGGCUAACUACGUG